AUUGAACGCUGGCGGCAUGCCUUACACAUGCAAGUCGAACGGCAGCACGGGAGCAAUCCUGGUGGCGAGUGGCGAACGGGUGAGUAAUAUAUCGGAACGUGCCCAGUCGUGGGGGAUAACGCAGCGAAAGCUGUGCUAAUACCGCAUACGAUCUAUGGAUGAAAGCGGGGGAUCGCAAGACCUCGCGCGAUUGGAGCGGCCGAUAUCAGAUUAGGUAGUUGGUGGGGUAAAGGCUCACCAAGCCGACGAUCUGUAGCUGGUCUGAGAGGACGACCAGCCACACUGGAACUGAGACACGGUCCAGACUCCUACGGGAGGCAGCAGUGGGGAAUUUUGGACAAUGGGCGCAAGCCUGAUCCAGCAAUGCCGCGUGCAGGAUGAAGGCCUUCGGGUUGUAAACUGCUUUUGUACGGAGCGAAAAGGCUCUCUCUAAUACAGGGGGCUCAUGACGGUACCGUAAGAAUAAGCACCGGCUAACUACGUGCCAGCCGCCGCCGUAAGAC
rnacentral:rRNA from 1 species